UUCCGCCAUUUUGUGUUCCCUUCUGGUGUUUCCCGCCAUUUUUUGUCACCUCCUGUGGUGUUUUCCACCAUUUUGUGUCACCCCUGUGGUGGUUCCCGCCAUUUUUUGUCACCCCCUGUGGUGUUUUCCGCCAUUUUUUGUCCCCUUCUGGUGUUUCCCGCCAUUUUGUGUUACCUCAUGCCGUUUUUUGUCACCUCCCUGUGGUGUUUUCCACCAUUUUGUAUCCCUUUCUGGUGUUUCCCGCCAUUUUGUGUCACCUUUCACUGUUUUUUGUCACUCCUGUGGUGUUUUUUGCCAUUUUCUGUUCCCCUGUUGUGUUUCCCGCCAUUUUGUGUCACUUUUCACCGUUUUGUGUCACCCCCUGUGGUGUUUUCCGCCAUUUUGUGCUUUUCUGUGGUGUUUCCCGCCAUUUUUUGUCACUCCUGUGGUGGUUCCCGCCAUUUUCUGUCACUCUUUGCCAUUUUGUGUCACUCCUGUGGUGUUUUCCGCCAUUUUGUGUCACCCUUCUGGUGUCCCCCCACCAUUUUGAGUCAUCUUCUACCAUUUUGUGGUCCCUUCUGGUGUUUCCCGCUAUUUUUUGUCACUUCCUGUGGUGUUUUCCGCCAUUUUGUGCUUUUCUGUGGUGUUUCCCACCAUUUUUUGUCCCCUUCUGGUGUUUUGCACCAUUUUUUGUCACCUCCUGUGGUGUUUUCCGCCAUUUUGUGUUCCCUUCUUGUGUUUCUCACCAUUUUCUGUCAUUCUUUGCCAUUUUCUGUCACCUCUUGUGGUGUUUCCGCCAUUUUUUGUCAUCUUCUUGUGGUGUUUUCCACCAUUUUUUGUCCCCCCGCCAUCUUGUGGCCUCCCCCGUGCCGUUUUGGGUCACUUUUCACAGUUUUGGGUCACCCCCUGUGGUGUUUUUCGCCAUUUUGUGUCCUCUUUUGCUGUUUUCCACCGUUUUUUGUCACCCCCUGUGGUGUUUUUUAUUAUUUUUUUGUCCCCUUGUGGUGUUUUUGCCAUUUUGUUUAUUUCUGUGGUAUUUUGCAUGAUUUUGUGCCCCCCCCCCCUUUUUGUGUCUCCCUGUGGUGUCACCCCCCAAUUCUCCCCCCAAUUCCCCCCCCAUUACCUCAAAUACCCCCCAAAUCUCCCCAAAUCCCUGUUACCCCCCCAAAUC
rnacentral:lncRNA from 1 species